GUAAAGGCUGUGAACGGAAAGAGUAGCAGAUUCAGAAGCUCUCAGAGAGAGGAUGCCGCCGGCUGAAAGCAUCCUUGUGCAGAGAAUAUGUGAAGUGCGUCCGGGAGCUGACCCUGUGAAAUGCGGAAAAGCCAAAGUAGCGGGGGACGUAUUGCAUACGUUACAUGCUGUCAGAGUGAAAGAAGAAUUUCUUUUAAAUAGAGUGGAACCGCGGAUAUGACUUCGUCUCUUGU
rnacentral:ncRNA from 1 species